UGGUACCUGGCUGCCUUGGAAUGUGUUGU
rnacentral:piRNA from 1 species